CCGGCCGGCGUGGCGCGCGCCGACGGCGACCGGCUGGACUGGCCGCUGCGGCCGCGACCGGCGGUCGCGCGGGUGUUCGACGCGCCCCGGCCGAAC
rnacentral:tRNA from 1 species